rnacentral:rRNA from 1 species
UACAGAGGUCUCAAGCGUUGUUCGGAUUCAUUGGGCGUAAAGGGUGCGUAGGCGGCGCGGUAAGUCGGGUGUGAAAUCUUGGAGCUUAACUCCGAAACUGCAUUCGAUACUGGAGAGCUCGAGUCCGGAAGAGGUGAGUGGAACUCCGAGUGUAGAGGUGAAAUUCGUAGAUAUUCGGAAGAACACCAGUGGCGAAGGCGGCUCACUGGUCCGGUACUGACGCUGAUGUGCGAAGGCGUGGGGAGCAAACAGG